GGCAUGUGAGGGCUGUCGCUGACUCAAAGUCGUGCACGCCCGAGUGUGUCCUCUCACAUAAUAAUCCAUCUCACCCUUUGUGCAUCGCCGCGUGAGCACCCUUUGGGAUCAUCUCGGAGGGGGCUCGCGUUUUCACACAAACCCCCCUUUUAAAAGUGUAGAAUGACCUCAUUUAUGCGCUAACACGCAAUCAAUACAACUUUCAACAACGGAUCUCUUGGCUCUCGCAUCGAUGAAGAACGCAGCGAAAUGCGAUACGUAAUGUGAAUUGCAGAAUUCAGUGAAUCAUCGAAUCUUUGAACGCACCUUGCGCCCCUUGGUAUUCCGAGGGGCACACCCGUUUGAGUGUCGUGAAAACCUCAACCUCCUUGGUUUCUUCUGGAGACCAAAGGCAGGCUUGGACUUUGGAGGCCCUUGCUGGAACCUCUCUCUUUUGAAGGCCAGCUCCUCUUAAACGAAUUAGCAGGGUCCUCUUUGCCGAUCCUCGACGUGUGAUAAGAUGUUUCCAUGUCUUGGUUUCUGGCUCUGUCACUUUUGGGACCCGCUUCUAACCGUCUUGACCUUGCAUCGAGACAAUGUUCGAGCAUGUCUCCCUUCUCGGGAAGCUCCCUCGACCCCACGAACCCUUGACCUCAAAUCGGGUGAGACUACCCGCUGAACUUAAGCAUAUCAAUAAGCGGAGGAAAAGAAACUAACAAGGAUUCCCCUAGUAACUGCGAGUGAAGCGGGAAAAGCUCAAAUUUAAAAUCUGGCGGUCUUUGGCCGUCCGAGUUGUAAUUUA
rnacentral:rRNA from 1 species